UAUUACCUCUCCUGUAUCUCUUUUGCUCUACGGGCCCCUGGAGCUCUCAUCCGUCAGCAGUGAUAGUGAGAAACAGGAGGCAGGAAUGGAAACUCCUAUUCACAUAUUUAUCAGCAGGAGGCCUCUUUAUGGAUCCAUCUGUGGCUGAAAUAUUGAUCAUAGCUGCCUGUGGAGAGUGCCGAAGAACUGCCACCUGAAAGCCUGUGACAGGACCCGGGUCACUGUGACAAAGGAAGAGAUGGAAGGAUAAUGGUCUGAUUGUUGCCUUUUGAGUAGUCGCUGAGCAUGUCCGAAGGAAAAAGAACAUUAAGAAACAGUGCUAUUAACAGAAUAAUGUCCUCUGUUCUUUACUGAGUCUGAACAAAAGGUCUUCAGGUCAAAGUCAUUGUGUUCCACAGGAAAGACAACGGGUUUGGAACAACAAGAGGAAGAGUCUCUGAGGCCUUGCCAUUUGGAAGAUGUCACGCAAUGCACACAACUCAACCAACAAACAUCAAAGACGCGUUCAGCUUGAAUAAAUAUCACGAUCGCAGCCUCAUAUUCAUGAGCUCAAUGUUAGAAAUGCUUAAAGUGCUGAUAAACAGUUUGAAGGAAAAGGCUGAAACUCGAAAGAAGAGGUAGAACAGAGGAAGUGUGGUAUCAGUGCAGGCAUCAGGCGUGAACGCAAACAAGUGGCCAUCUCGCUCUUCGCCAUCUGCGCUCUGAAGGUGUUGCUUCUGCGGCCACAAGCUUUCUUCUCUUUGGAGACCCUUUUGAAAGUUUCCGGAGGUGAUAGCUCUCUGGAUUUAACACCACACCAGCUUUCAUGGCUAUUUUCAUGGUGAAGAUUUUGGCUUUGAAGACCAUUACAGGAAGCACAUAUCCUAGUAUAGGAAGUAAUUUUCUAAAUUGCGCUCUUGCCACCUGUUGACCACAUAUGUAGGGCUUCAGCAUUUUUGUAAGUCAAGCAGGAUAAGAGUGUCCACUUUUUUUUUUUUUUUUGUCACAAAAAGUCAUAAUUGAUUUUCAUUUUCAU